rnacentral:rRNA from 1 species
UACGUAGGGUGCGAGCGUUGUCCGGAAUUAUUGGGCGUAAAGAGCUCGUAGGCGGCUUGUCGCGUCGGCUGUGAAAUCCCGUGGCUCAACUGCGGGUCUGCAGCCGAUACGGGCAGGCUAGAGUUCGGUAGGGGAGACUGGAAUUCCUGGUGUAGCGGUGAAAUGCGCAGAUAUCAGGAGGAACACCGAUGGCGAAGGCAGGUCUCUGGGCCGAUACUGACGCUGAGGAGCGAAAGCGUGGGGAGCGAACAGG